rnacentral:rRNA from 1 species
UGGGGAAUAUUGGACAAUGGGCGAAAGCCUGAUCCAGCCAUGCCGCGUGUGUGAAGAAGGUCUUCGGAUUGUAAAGCACUUUAAGUUGGGAGGAAGGGCAUUAACCUAAUACGUUAGUGUUUUGACGUUACCGACAGAAUAAGCACCGGCUAACUCUGUGCCAGCAGCUGCGGUAAUACAGAGGGUGCAAGCGUUAAUCGGAAUUACUGGGCGUAAAGCGCGCGUAGGUGGUUUGUUAAGUUGGAUGUGAAAUCCCCGGGCUCAACCUGGGAACUGCAUUCAAAACUGACUGACUAGAGUAUGGUAGAGGGUGGUGGAAUUUCCUGUGUAGCGGUGAAAUGCGUAGAUAUAGGAAGGAACACCAGUGGCGAAGGCGACCACCUGGACUAAUACUGACACUGAGGUGCGAAAGCGUGGGGAGCAAACA